ACCAAGGUGUGCGCAUUCGCCCGAUUCACGUCGGGAGGAAAGUCCGGACACUACAGGGCAGGAUUCCGUGUGAAAACGCGGGCACCGGUCGUCAAGGGCCGGUGACGGAAAGUGUCACAGAAAACAAACCGCCGGAGGCAACUCCGGUAAGGGUGAAAAGGUGGGGUAAAAGCCCACCGCGGUGCCGGUGACGGCACCGGCAGGAUAAACCCAAUCCAGUGCAAGACAAAAUAGGGAAGCAGGCGGCCCGUCUCAUGCUUCCGGGUAUGUCGCCCCGCCGCAAGGCGGAGUCGCCGGCGCAAGCCGGUGGCUAGAGGAAUGAAUGCGACCGGUGCCGUUCGCGGCGUCGGCACAGAAUCCGGCUUACAGCACCUUGGUCUUU
rnacentral:RNase_P_RNA from 1 species